ensembl:misc_RNA
CUGAGAGGAUCCCCUCUUCUGCUACACGUUCACUCAUGUGAAAGAGCUGGUAGACUCUCUAAAACACUUUCCAGAAGACAUUCUUCACAGUUCAACC